CCUACGGGUGGCAGCAGUGGGGAAUAUUGCACAAUGGGGGAAACCCUGAUGCAGCGACGCCGCGUGAGGGAAGAAGUAUUUCGGUAUGUAAAGCUCUAUUAGCAGGGAAGAAGAAAGACGGUAGCUGACUCAGAAGCCCCGGCUAACUACAUGCCAGCAGCCUAGGUACUACGGCGGGGCCACGCUUUAUCCGGAUUUCCUGGGUGUAACGGGAGGGUAGACGGCUGUGCAAGUCUGAAGUGAAAGCCCAGGGCUCAAUGCUGGGACUGCUGUGGAAACUGGGGGGCUAGAGUGCGGUAGAAGUAGGUGGAAUUCGUGGUGUAGCGGUGAAAUGCAUAGAUAUUAGGAAGAACACCAGUGGCGAAGGCAGCUUACUGGACAGUAACUGACGUUGAGGCACGAAAGCGUGGGGAGCAAACAGGAUUAGAUACCCUAGUAGUC
rnacentral:rRNA from 1 species